rnacentral:tRNA from 1 species
GGUGCAAUAGCCAAGUGGAGAUGCGGCAGACUUCAAUUCUGUUCCCUUCAACAGGUGUAGGAUCAAAACCUACUGGUGUCA